rnacentral:rRNA from 1 species
UACGAAGGGGGCGAGCGUUGUUCGGAUUUACUGGGCGUAAAGGGCGCGUAGGCGGCGGGUCAAGUCGAGUGUGAAAGCCCCGGGCUCAACCUGGGAAUUGCGCUCGAGACUGGUCUGCUUGAGUUCGGGAGAGGAGCGUGGAAUUCCCAGUGUAGAGGUGAAAUUCGUAGAUAUUGGGAAGAACACCAGUGGCGAAGGCGGCGCUCUGGACCGAGACUGACGCUGAGGCGCGAAAGCGUGGGGAGCAAACAGG